GAUGAACGCUAGCGGCAGGCCUAACACAUGCAGGUCGAGGGGCAGCACAUAAAGUGGUUUACUACUUUUGGUGGCGACCGGCGGACGGGUGCGUAACGCGUAUGCAACCUGCCUCCAACAGGGGGAUAACGGAGAGAAAUUUCCACUAAUACCCCAUAAUAUCAGAAUCGGCAUCGGUUUUGGUUGAAAACUCCGGUGGUUGGAGAUGGGCAUGCGUUGUAUUAGAUAGUUGGUGAGGUAACGGCUCACCAAGUCAACGAUACAUAGGGGGACUGAGAGGUUAGCCCCCCACCCUGGUACUGAGACACGGACCAGACUCCUACGGGAGGCAGCAGUGAGGAAUAUUGGUCAAUGGGGGCAACCCUGAACCAGCCACGCCGCGUGCAGGAAGACGGCUCUAUGAGUUGUAAACUGCUUUUACAAGGGGAUAAAUCGGUGUACGUGUACACCGUUGAAGGUACCUUGGGAAUAAGGAUCGGCUAACUCCGUGCCAGCCGCCGCGGUAA
rnacentral:rRNA from 1 species